UUGAUAGAAGCCAAAAAGAGGCUUAUUACUGUUAAUGAUAGAAUUGAAUUUAUCUUCCUAUCAAG
rnacentral:tRNA from 1 species